rnacentral:rRNA from 1 species
UGCCCUACGGGACGCAGCAGUAGGGAAUCUUCCACAAUGGGCGCAAGCCUGAUGGAGCAACACCGCGUGAGUGAAGAAGGGUUUCGGCUCGUAAAGCCCUGUUGUUGGAGAAGAACGUGCGUGAGAGUAACUGUUCACGCAGUGACGGUAUCCAACCAGAAAGUCACGGCUAACUACGUGCCAGCAGCCGCGGGAAUACGUAGGUGGCAAGCGUUAUCCGGAUUUAUUGGGCGUAAAGCGAGCGCAGGCGGUUGGCU